UAUAUAUAUAUAUGCAUAUAUAUAUAUAUAUAUUUUGAUUGGGGUAGCCCCCAAAAUAUUGGGACAUAUAAAAAAAGACAACUCUGUUCUGCAGAGUAGCUGUUGACAUUAUAGUUGCGCAGGAACUUUGUUGACCCUAGAGAACCUCCGUCAAAUCACACAUCCCCGUGGCGGCGACUUUGCGUGCGGAUGUCAUCCAUAUCAACUUUCUAUGCCAGUUUCUGCACCUACCAUGGUGACCACGGGUAAUGGGGAAUCAGGGUUCCAUUCCGUACAGGGACCCUGAGAAAUGGCUAUCACAUGCAAGGAAGGCAGCAGGUGUGCAAAUGACCCACUCCCGACGUGGGAAGUUAGUGA
rnacentral:rRNA from 1 species